AACACAUGCAAGUCGAGCGGAAACGAGUUAUCUGAACCUUCGGGGAACGAUAACGGCGUCGAGCGGCGGACGGGUGAGUAAUGCCUAGGAAAUUGCCCUGAUGUGGGGGAUAACCAUUGGAAACGAUGGCUAAUACCGCAUGAUGCCUACGGGCCAAAGAGGGGGACCUUCGGGCCUCUCGCGUCAGGAUAUGCCCAGGUGGGAUUAGCUAGUUGGUGAGGUAAGGGCUCACCAAGGCGACGAUCCCUAGCUGGUCUGAGAGGAUGAUCAGCCACACUGGAACUGAGACACGGUCCAGACUCCUACGGGAGGCAGCAGUGGGGAAUAUUGCACAAUGGGCGCAAGCCUGAUGCAGCCAUGCCGCGUGUAUGAAGAAGGCCUUCGGGUUGUAAAGUACUUUCAGCAGUUAGGAAGGUGGAUGCGUUAAUAGCGUAUUCAUUUGACGUUAGCUGCAGAAGAAGCACCGGCUAACUCCGUGCCAGCAGCCGCGGUAAUACGGAGGGUGCGAGCGUUAAUCGGAAUUACUGGGCGUAAAGCGCAUGCAGGUGGUUUGUUAAGUCAGAUGUGAAAGCCCGGGGCUCAACCUCGGAAUAGCAUUUGAAACUGGCAGACUAGAGUACUGUAGAGGGGGGUAGAAUUUCAGGUGUAGCGGUGAAAUGCGUAGAGAUCUGAAGGAAUACCAGUGGCGAAGGCGGCCCCCUGGACAGAUACUGACACUCAGAUGCGAAAGCGUGGGGAGCAAACA
rnacentral:rRNA from 1 species